rnacentral:rRNA from 1 species
AUUGAACGCUGGCGGCAGGCCUAACACAUGCAAGUCGAGCGGUGGCACAGAGAGCUUGCUCUCGGGUGACGAGCGGCGGACGGGUGAGUAAUGUCUGGGAAACUGCCUGAUGGAGGGGGAUAACUACUGGAAACGGUAGCUAAUACCGCAUAACGUCGCAAGACCAAAGUGGGGGACCUUCGGGCCUCAUGCCAUCAGAUGUGCCCAGAUGGGAUUAGCUAGUAGGUGGGGUAACGGCUCACCUAGGCGACGAUCCCUAGCUGGUCUGAGAGGAUGACCAGCCACACUGGAACUGAGACACGGUCCAGACUCCUACGGGAGGCAGCAGUGGGGAAUAUUGCACAAUGGGCGCAAGCCUGAUGCAGCCAUGCCGCGUGUGUGAAGAAGGCCUUCGGGUUGUAAAGCACUUUCAGCGGGGAGGAAGGCGGUGAGGUUAAUAACCUCAUCGAUUGACGUUACCCGCAGAAGAAGCACCGGCUAACUCCGUGCCAGCCGCCGCUGUAA